rnacentral:rRNA from 1 species
AACGAACGCUGGCGGCAUGCCUAACACAUGCCAGUCGAACGAGACCUUCGGGUCUAGUGGCGCACGGGUGCGUAACGCGUGGGAACCUGCCCUUAGGUUCGGAAUAACUCCCCGAAAGGGGUGCUAAUACCGGAUAAUGUCUUCGGACCAAAGAUUUAUCGCCUUUGGAUGGGCCCGCGUUGGAUUGCUAGUUGGUAGGGUAAAAGCCUACCAAGGCGACGAUCCAUAGCUGGUCUGAGAGGAUGAUCAGCCACACUGGGACUGAGACACGGCCCAGACUCCUACGGGAGGCAGCAGUGGGGAAUAUUGGACAAUGGGCGAAAGCCUGAUCCAGCAAUGCCGCGUGAGUGAUGAAGGCCUUAGGGUUGUAAAGCUCUUUUACCCGGGAUGAUAAUGACAGUACCGGGAGAAUAAGCUCCGGCUAACUCCGUG